UGUUGUUUGUGCUUUUGGUGUCAUGUCUAACCCAAGGUCACAAAGGUUUAUUCCUGGUUUUUUUUCUAAGACUUAACACUUAAGACAUAUGGUAUGAAGUACAGGCCCUACUCCAUUCUUCUGCAUGUGGAUAGCCAGUUACCCCAACACCAUUUGUUGAAAAGACUAUUCUUUCCCCAUUAGACUGUCUUGGCAUCCUUGCUGAAAAUCAAUUACCUAUCUGAAUUUAUUCCUGGACUCUCAACAUAUGUCUGUCCUUACGCCAGUACACGCUGUCUUGAUUAGUGUAGAUUUGUCGUGAGUGAGUCUUGAAAUUGGGAAGUCUGUCUUCCAACUUUGAUCUUUUUCAAGAUUGUUUUGGCUAUUUUGGGUCCCUUGCGUUUCUGUGUGAAUUUAGGAUCGAUUGUGUUGAAUCUGUAGAGACCAGUUUGGGGAGUAUUGCCAUUCUUAACAUUAUUCUUUCACGGUGUUACUCUUAAAAAGCAAAACAAACCACAAACCUCAACAGUUAGCUCACAUAGCCAACCAUUAUUAGGUUUUUCUGUAACAGCUCUUUAUUUCCUCCAGCUACUUUUAAAAAUGAAAUGCUUUGCCCUUGUAAAUGAAUUAUUUUCUUUUUACCAGUCAAGCUUAACUGUGUAUAUUUCCUUAUUAGACCAUGAUGAUUCUGUUUCAGUAAAGUUAGUAGGGUUAAAUACCAUAGAAUGUCGUUAAAAGAUGGAAGAGCCAAGGCAAAAAAUCGCUCAUGCAAACCACUGCUCAACUUGCCACAAAAGAGCAGGUGGAUUUGUGAUGAACGCGAAAGGUUCUUGGUUCUCACACUCCUGUGCUCUCUCAGUAUUAGCAAGAGCCGAUUUCAAAUCCCAGCUGCUCUCCAUUCCUCUGCUUUUCUGUGAAUAUUUUAAAAAGUAUUUAAUGUCUUUGAAUCUGUGUUUUCUUCUUUAUGAUAGUGAUAUGAUCCAGGUGCCCAGGGGACCUCCUGAGCCUGUGUCUGUGAUAUGUCACACUUACUUUUAAUGACAGUUAGAGUUGCCUGAGCGCCCCCAGGCCUAGCCCCUUCACACUGUCCCCCACUUGCUUCUGUGAGUCCCUGGAGGGUGGCUCACGUGCCCAGAGCUCGUCUGUCAGCUAGUUACCUGCUCUGUCACAUCUGCCCCUGCUGCCUCUUCUGCACCUGUCCCCCGCCCCGCCUUCUUUCUACUCGGUCUCCAGGAGACGCCCUCAUCGGACUGCCAAAACCGCGUCGGGAUUCAUUUGUCUCCACGCCCCGGGAAGCACCAGAGCAAUGCUGUUUCUAUACAGAUGAAGAGAAUGGUCUUCUCCACCUUAAAUGCAGCCCAGUUCCGGAGUCUCUCUGAGUCAUUCUUGAAAAAUCCAGUAAGCCUCUGGCCCUUUCACCUCUUACCGUACUCCAGCCAGCGGCCCUCCACUGCCACCAUUCUCCUCUGCCUUCCAUUCACCUCCACCUCAUGCCAACCUCCUCCUCCCAGGUCACCAGACAGAAGCCUGAAGAAAAGUGUGUGUGUGUGUGCGUGCGUGCGUGCGUGCGCGCGUGCGCGCGUGUUGGGGGCAUCUCAUCAACAACGGCUGGGCACCUGCAAGCAUGAGUUCCUGAUAGUUGAAAACGGUGCCUACCCCCAGAAGCGUUAUGAGGAUUAACGGAAGUAAUGCAAAUAAAAGUACGUUAAUGCAAACUAAACAUAAAAUAAUGCCCCCCCCAAGUCCCUGGUACAAAGAAGACACUUCCCUCAGGGUUUUAAAAUAUCAAAGUGACAAGAUCCCUUUUCUAGUUAAAAGCACAUUUUCCAGAUACUUCUUGCCGUCCCAGUGGGAAAGCCCCCAGGCCUGUGAUUCCAGGAAAGACCCCCGGGCUACGCCCGUCCUUCCUGGGACUCCGCUUGGCUUGGGCCGAAAACAGAAGCUUGUUUCCUCCGCCCCUGAGCAAGGCCUUCCCCAAGGCUCCUCCUCCGCAGCGAUCCCGGCCGCGGCUCCGAGCCCCGCCUCCCCCGGGCGCCUUCACCGAGCAGGCCCCGCCCCUCCACUCCGGCGCCGCUUCCCGGCGGGUCUCGGCGCCCGGACAAGGCGGCCCUCUUUCCAAGGCGGCAGACGCGGCAGUGCGUCCCUGCGCUCCGCCCGCGACCUGCGCCCCCGCGGCGGGUGCGCGCCUCGCAAACCUCCCGGCGGAGGAGUGGGAACCUGGGUUAGGAAGCGGGGCAGGCAGGUGGCGGGGACGAGGACGUUGCGAGCCGGGAGCCCGGCCACGUGGAUUCUCAGAUCUCCUUGUGGUUUCGUUUCAACACGCAGCCGUUGGGUGUCUGGGUGUUCGCGCAAGUGGCAUACGUGAUUCGAGAGGUCGGAAUGCAGAAGUAGCAGGAGGGCUUUGUGGGCCAGGCCCUGAGGACAUGGAUACCACAUGACAGCCCGACUCGGAGAGGUCACGAGAAGCGCCGAAUGCACGACACUGUGACACGUGUUUUAGUGAGAUGCGUGCAGGGUACAGAAGUGAAAGGGAGGGAUUCUUUCUGGAGCGUCUUCAGGGGGGCCUAAGGCGAGUUUAAGUUUGCGGGGUGGAUAAGCACGUAGCAGAGCAACCCGUUGAGAGGAAACAGGGUCUUUAAAGCUGCAGAGGGGACCUGGAGGGGGUGUGAGCCCAGGAGCCCGAGGGGGGCUUGGUGGCCCACCAUCUCCUUCAGAGCCACCUUAAAUAGCAAUCUCAGCAGAAACGGCGAGCUUGCUCUGUGGGCUCCACUUCAAGCAGGAGGGGAGGAAGAUGGUGUGAUGCCAGCCAAGGGCCAAGCAAAUGGAAAGCCCGUGGUAUGAUCUGUCUGCCUAUUGACCUAGCUAGCCCACGCCUCCACCGCUGAAGCCGAUUUCAUCUGCAGGGGCCGUGUUGUUUACUGACUUAACCAUCUCUUUCGGUGCCGUUGUCUCAACACGGCACUUUUAGGCAUGGGUACACGUGGAGACACAUGGAAGGUCAAGGUCGGCCCCUAAGGGAAUCCCCACCAACGACCCGGCCAGGAGGCAGACCCUUCAGCUGUGGGUGCCAGGAGUUCAGAUCUUCUAGCUGCAUCGUUAUGGAUGGUGGGGUUUCCCAGAAUGAGCAAAGCGAGGUACAAUCCACCCUCAAUAUCCCUCCGUGUUCCUGGAAUAUGUGGUAUAUGUUAAAACCAUGCAAAAUUACUUGUGUCUAAAUUAAAAUGAAGUUUGGAUCUUAGAUUAUUCUAAAUAAGCUUUUCAACUACACGAACGACUGGGCUGAUAUUUCAAAAUUAUGAGGGCUACUUCUCCACAUGGGGGGUUGCCUCGCACAAUAUAGGACACUCAGCAUCCCUGAACCCCCAGCUGCUCAAUGCCAGGAGCCCCCCAAGGAAAAAGUCCCCACAAAUUUCCAACACACUCCUGCUGUGGAGCAGAAUGACCUCCUUGAGAAUCUGUCACCACUCAUCUGCGUUUACUGACAUGGAAAAAAGUCCACGAUGUGUAGUUCAGCACAAUGUACGGUUAAGUCAAAAUCUUCAGGGUCAGCAGCUACAACAUGAUUCCAUUCUUGAAAAAGGAAUAAGCUAAAGAAGGAAGGACUCCGUGAAAGAACCGUGUGUGUGUGCACGUGUGUGUGUGUCCACAGAGGAAUAAGUCUGGACGUAUAUACACAAACACAUUAACCAGCAUUGUCUCUGGGGAUGAGAGUUCAGAUAAUUUGCAUGUUCUAAUGUCUAUUUGUUGGAAUGGACUGAUUUUUUUUUAGAAAUUAUGAUAUACAAUCAGAAAAAAGCAACUAUUUUCAUUUGGCAAACAAAUAACAGAAGGCAGUUUUCUGCUGGGGAAUUCUCUGCUGUCCUGUGUGCUGUGGAAUGUCAGCAGCCUGGCCUUGUCCCCCCAGAGGCCGGGAGCACACACCCCGGGCACAGAUGUGAACCAAGGGCAUCUCCAGACACAGACAGAGGGGCGAUGGCACUGUGGUCUGUGGUCUGGGAGGUUGGGAAGCCUUCCUGAGGAGGUGACAAAGCACUGAGAUGUGAAGACGGUAGGAGCGAACUAAAUGAAGAGAGGGUGGAAGGGUGUCCUGGGCAGAGGGAACAGCAUGGACAAAGCCACGUGGCAGGGAGGAGCUGGUGGGAACGAGCUACCAAAGGAAACAAAGCUUUCACUGGGAAAUAGCAAAUAGUACCCCCCUUGGAUAAAGGAAGAGGGCGACAUCAGGACACAUCUGCCUCACAUGGGGCUUCAGGGAUGCUCCAGAGGUGUACUGUGAACCAUGCCUCCUGACACACAGUCUAAUAUGACACGUGUUAUUGAAUUUUGCAAUAGGAAAUGUAAAGCCCAUGUGGUUUUAUUAAGACAUUUCUAUCAAUUUUCCUUUGACUUGCCCUUCCAAAUAAUAAACCGAAUGUUGCUUCGCUUAAUUUUCAGGUUGAUGAAGCUUCCUUUCCUAUUGCUAAUUUAAGUCACUUAAAGUGAUUUUUUAUUAAUCUGGGAUAGAGAGGUUUGCCUUUCUUAAUUGAAAAUAUUUUUGAACCAGUAGAAUACGGCAUGAAAUUAUUCAGGAAAUCUCAGGCCCUAGAGUCAAGGAAAUCUUUUUUCUUUUUAAAAAUCCCAGCUUUCAAAGAAUUUUCUCCAAACUCUUUUUUGUUUUUUUAACAUCUUUA